ACAAAUAAAAAAACUUCCCCCCUUCACUGCUUCGACUUUAACCGCUCACCCCAUAUCAUCUCUAACUCUUAGGCCACCGGCGACCGCCCUCCACCCCUACACCAUCUGUCAGCCGCGCCGCCCCUCGUCUACCACCGCUGUGCUGCCCUUCGUCUACCACCGUUGCGCCGCCGCUCACUUAAUUUCAUGGGUUCACGAUCUGAAGUCGUUGCCAAUCUGAGACACUUGUAAGGGACCACAACAAAGUACUACUACGUUGUCGUAAGUCCGUCUUGUUCGUUUGUUACGAAUUUUGAUUUGUUAUUGGUAAUUUUGAGGUGGGAUACUUGUCCGCGGAAAAAAAUUCUUCCCAGGGUCGUUGUAAACGGUCAACAAGAUUUGAUUGAUCGCCUGAAAAAAAGAUUAAAAAUAAAUGAUCUCUAAUAUAUGGUUUUGUAGGAAGUUGCUCAUUAUAGUAGCAUUUGGCAGAGAAAGAAGAGUGUUGUAGUGAUUGUGAAGAUGAGUUUGUUGAUAUUGCUGCAGUUCAUACAAAUUGCUGGAGACUUAGUUACCGCAUCUCCUGAUGUUUUUGAAACAGCUCUUGGAUCGGACGUCUAAUGGCCUGGGCCCUGUGGGAUACAGGAUUACUUGAGCAGGAAUAAAUGAAGGCGUUGCGAAGAUGAAAUUAACAAAGUAUUCUAAUGUGAACGGGGUAGCGUGUGAUAAAGAGCUCGAAGAAAAAUCAAAAGUGCUAGAUAAAUUGCAUAGUUAUGUGUGACUCUUUUAGUACUCAUUUUCUUUUUUCUUUUUUUGAGAGCUUAGUGGUUCUCAUUUUAAUAGUGUACUUUGAUUUUAUUGAAAUAUUAAGUGACUUUUUGAUA